GCCGGAGUGGCGGAAUUUGGUAGACGCAAGGGACUUAAAAUCCCUCGGUCUUUUGACUGUGCCGGUUCAAGUCCGGCCUUCGGCACCA
rnacentral:tRNA from 3 species